AACUUGAUGCAUGUUUUAAAAUGUGAUUAUUAGAGCAGGUUGAAGUAUUUUUUAAAUACGUGACAGACAAAUGAGGAGCAUAUCCAGUAAAUUCUAACAGAUAAAAAUUGUGUAUGAAAAUGUGUCACUUCUUUCUCCCAGCCUGUCUGGUAACGAAACCAGGCUGGUGGAGCAACACACCAGCAGCUUUGGAAACUGCAUUAUUUUGUCAGAUGGCAGGGAGGUUUUGAUGCCUGUCUAGUGCCCAAGUCAUAUCUUAAAAUGAAAUUUUGGCUCCUCCAUCUCUUGUGCAUGCUUUGUUUCACUGCUGCGGCCAAGAUGCUCAAAUUUACCUGAAUUUACUGAUACACACUUAUACGAGCCUGAAGAAGCUCUGCAAAGUUGUUGGCUAGAUGAAGUGGAUGAGGAUUUAACUUCAAAGCACAAUUGGCAGUGAUGGUGAGCCCUGGUGCAGCUGCAGUUACGGCCUGGAGAAGGACAUGUAUUGACUUCAGUGGAAGCAGAAGUCACUGGCUCCUACCAGUGUGGCUGUUGCCAAAGAUGAGUCUCUACGUACACCCAUGUACCUGCCAGCAGAGGCUGGAGGACCAGCUGGGAAUCCUCCCCAGGAGUGCUUGGAAAAUGCAGAUUCAUUGAAAUAAUCUUUUCCCCAGUCACCAGGACUUCUGUUUGUUGGGAAGAGUCUGAGCUCCACAAUGAAAUGUCCCACCACCACGUGAGAGAUCAGCUCCGCACAAGGCAGCAGUAGCCUGGCAGGCAGAGCCCCUGGGAGCCCCACUGUCUGCCCCAGUGCUUCUGAGUUACAAAGAAAUGCAGCUCUCAGCCUUCCUCAUGCCAGUUCAAUGUCCCAACGACCAGCAGUUUGGCUGGCCCAUGUCAAGCUCUGCGGCUUCACAUAGCUUCAUCCUCUGAAGACAUUUCUGUAGAGGUUUAUUUCGGUGUCUCAUCAACCUGCUUGCUGUGUAGUGAUGAAUGCAGAUUGCAG
rnacentral:lncRNA from 1 species